rnacentral:rRNA from 1 species
UCCUACGGGAGGCAGCAGUUGGGCGCAAGCCUGAUCCAGCCAUGCCGCGUGUGUGAAGAAGGCCUUAUGGUUGUAAAGCACUUUAAGCGAGGAGGAGGCUACUGAAGUUAAUACCUUCAGAUAGUGGACGUUACUCGCAGAAUAAGCACCGGCUAACUCUGUGCCAGCAGCCGCGGUAAU